CUUCUUGCGAGAUCUGGCUGUUUGAAAGUGUGCGGCACCUCCCCACCCCUCCUCUGCUCCCACUCUGGCCAUGUGAGAUGCCGCUUCCUCUUCGCCUUCUGCCAAAAUUGCAAGCAAGGUCUCAUCAGAAGCAGGGCAGAUGCCGGCACCACACUUCAUAUAAAGUCUACAGAACAGUGAGCCAAUUAAACCUCUUUUCUUUAUAAAUUAUCCAGCCUCAGGUAUUUCUUUAUAGCAACAUAAGAAUGGCCUAACACAGGGUCUGUCUUAGGAAGGGGCCCUCGGGCUGUCCCUCUUCUCCCUGGCCCUAGCCCAGGAGGAGGACCAGCAAGAGUAGUGAAGUGAGAAGCCUCUCCAUGAAGAUGCCUUCUGCCAUUCAUUACACACACAACAGCAUCUUGGUCCCAGAUGCCGGGUCCCAGAGAGGACCUCAAGGAGACUUCCCAGGAAAUUACCCACCACUGGACAUUGGACAGGGCAAAGCUGUGGUGUGGAAAGGGGCAAAUCCACAUCCCUCCAACGUGUGCCCACAUGACUGUCCCGGGGGCUUCCAUGAGCUUGAUGACCCAGAAGCUAUGGUCCUGCACACGUGAGUCUGUGACCUGACAGCUGUGCCUGCUUCACCAGUGUAGAGACUUGGAUCCCCAGGCAAACCCCAGAAGUGUGGAAGGGAAGGGGAGAAAGCCUGUGGAGGGAGGUGGAGGAGCCGUGGUUUCCAGUAACCAUCGCUGGUUAGUUCAGAGGGAAAUGUCCACAACAGAGAUGACUGUGACACCCGGCACAAGAUUUAAUUCUCAGAGUGAAAACGAGAAUGCCGUGUCUCUGGGAGCCCCCGGAGAAUGACUCAACAGUGACGUCCUACAGCAUGAUUUGCUUUAACUGAAGGUGAAGAGAAUCUUUCAGGAGUGGAGAGAAUAUAACUGAAUGCUUUGUCACAAAUUUACUUUGAUCUCAUGUACCCCGUAAAUACAGACACCUACUAUGUACCAGAAAAAUUAAAAAUAAAAAUAACAAAUUCACAUUCCGCUUGUUCAUCCUGAUUCUUCAGGCCUGGCCACGGUAUCAAAGACAAGGAAGGCCCAUUGCCUGCCCUCAUGCUGGUUGUUCAGCCCUCCAAGAAUCAUUCUUGAUGCCCUGCAAAUACCAGGCGCUGCGCUAGGCCCUGCAGAUGCGACAACGAACGUAGAUGCUGUCCCAGCCACCCACACUCGCUGCCGGGGGAAGAACCAGGUAAGGUUCCCGCACAUCGCCCUCCAUGAAGCAGGAGCAGGAGCCUCACUGCGGGGCUGGGAGCUGCCUUCCUUCCUCCCACCAGCCUCUAGGGGAAGGAUUUGUGUCUGCUGGCCCUCCUCGGUAGUAACAAAUUCUGGUGGUGGACAAAGCAGAUAGAAGACUACAGAAGACAGACAGGCUAAGGUGAUCUGCGCAAAAAGAUGGCGGCGGGGGAGAGGAAAGGCAAUUCCCAGAAUGAAGCGGGGACGUGGGUGGCGAGUGUGUGGUUGGGAUUUGAGGUGGAAAGAGGCUGAGAGAGGACUGAGUUCCGGGAGGCAGCUGCCUCCUGCAUGGAGGCCUUUCCAAGGGCAAGCGCUGGAUAGAGGAUUCCAAUUAUUUGCUGUGCAUUGAGAAUGCACUCCCAAUGACCCAGUUUUUCCAACAAAUCAAUGACAUGAAAAGGAAAGGGGAAAAAAAAAGGUUCUAAGAUCCCCCUGUGGAUGCCUGAAACUGCAGAGAGUACCAAGCCUGACUGCCGCCAAUCAGAAGUAGUUUCUGUUCAGGUCUUCCACCCACGAAUGUAAUGCCUUUUUCGUCUUAACUAAGCACUUAUCACGCACUGUGGUCAUCACUUUUGCAGUCUGAGGUACAACAGCAAAACCAGCACACAUUCUUUUUCUUUCUUUACAAUUUCAGAAUUAGAAAUUUUAUUCUGACCAUAGAUUUUUGGCAAUCUCAGCAAAUGAUUUUGUUUCUUGAGAACUUUUGCCUUUUCGCUUAAAGGAAGCACUUGAGGUCUUCUCUUUGGCAUAUCCGAAUUGCUGGCAUCACUACGCUUGUGCUUUGGGGACAUUAUUUAGUAAAAUAAGGGUUCCUUGAACACCGGCACUGCGAUACCAUGACAGUCGAUCACUGACGGCCGGUGGUGUCUCCAGCAUGGAUACGCGGGACAGAGGGAUGAUUCACCUCCUGAGCAGGAUGGAGCGGGACAGCGAGAGAUUUCACUGCGCUGCUCAGAACAGCGCGUGAUUUAAAACUUGUGAAUUUGGGCGGGACGGGGAGGGGCGCGGCUGCGGGGAGUCGUCCCCGUGGCCGCCGCUCCGGAGCCCGGCGAGCCCGCGAAGGGGAAGCUCUUUAAGCUCCUAGGCAUUUCAGGUGUUGAAAAUAUUCCCUGUGCCCGGGAUUCAAUAUUGUAUGGUUCAUUAGGAUCUGUUGUGGCUGGCUUUGGACUUUUUUUUUGUUAACUAGUAGAAUUAGAAAAUCAUGUGAUGUUGGAGUAGGAGGAUUUAUCUUGGUGACUUUGGGAUGCUGGUUUCAUUGUAGGUAUAAUUAUGCAAAGCAAAGAAUCCAGGAAAGAAUUGCCAGAGAAGGAAUUAAAAAUAAGAUAUUAUGUGAAAGUACCCAUCUUGAUCCUGAAAGAAAAGAAACCAAGGGCAACAGCAGCAAUUGAACAAUCUUGAGCAUAGAAAUCAGACUCCCUGAAGUCAGUGUGAACAAAGCUAAGCUCAACCACAUAAAACAUUUUAUGUACAAUAAGCUCUCAAUCAAGUAAAUAAAGUUUAAGUUGUAAUAAAUAAAGAAAGAAAGGAAGAAAAUUUUUGAAUUAUUUGUGGAGUUUUAAAUUUAACAUUUUCAGGCUGUGGCUAAAACUCAGGAUAGUGAAACCACACAUAAGAGAGUACUACUGUUAUCACAUCAGCAGGCAUAUAAUGUUAGUCUCAUUAUUUGUAAACCUAACUUUAAAAAAUUUUUUUAAAUGUUUAUGGGUACAAUGUAGGUGUAUAUAUUUAUGGGAUAUAUGAGAUGUUUUGAUACAGACAUGCAAUUGUAAAAUCAUGGAGA
rnacentral:lncRNA from 1 species